rnacentral:rRNA from 1 species
AGUGAACGCUGGCGGCGUGCCUAAUACAUGCAAGUCGAACGGAGUGGCGCACGGGUGAGUAAUGUAUAGCUAAUCUCCCCUAUACUAGAGGAAAACAGGUGGAAACAGCUGUUAAUACUCUAUAGUGUAGGAUGAGGCUAUAUUGUAUCAGCAAGUUGGUGAGGUAAUGGCUCACCAAGGCUAUGAUGCAUAACUGGUGUGAGAGGAGGAUCAGUAACACUCGAAGUGAGACACGGGCAGGACACCUACGGGAGGGAGCAGAAGGGAAUAUUGCUAAAGGGGGGAGACCCAGGAGCGGGUUCGCCGCGUGGAGGAUGGUACUUUUCGAAGAGUAAGCUCCUUUUGUUAGGGAAGCGGUACCUAACGAAUAAGCACCGGCUAACUCCGUGCCAGCAGCCGCGGUAAUAC